rnacentral:lncRNA from 1 species
GAAUUAUUUCUCUAAUUUUCCUUAUCGCUUUCAGUAUUCUCCCCUAAAACGUUCCUAGCCAUUUUUAAUAUAAAAUAUUUUUUGACUAAAAGAUAAGUUGAAAAUUACAAUAUAGAAAACACAGCAUGAUGUAAAUAUCUACACUAGGCGAUAAAUCUUAUGGGACUAUAUAAACAAACAUGUUGAAUCUUGAAAACAUUGUGUAAUGGUUUUUGGAUAAGUC